rnacentral:lncRNA from 1 species
ACAUUCCACAGUGCAAACAGCAGGCAGAGCUUCUCAGAGAGGAGACUAGCAGUUACCUUUGAAGUCUUCCAUGUCAUUUUCACAAUGAUUUGUGACUGGUUCAAGUCCCCCCCCACACUUGUAAGAAGGGGAACAGAGAGACUGGAACCCAGAGGAUCUGAUCCCAAAGCUAUCCUUUCUCUCACUCUCUUGGAUGGUCUCUGUCAUCAGGUUGCUCACAGGCACCAAUAAGGGUGGAAGGGACAAUCUACAGUGCCACAGAGUCUGUUGAUACUGUGCUGUCGCAAUAUAUUCUACAUAUUAAGUUUCUGGAAUACUUCAAGAUCCAAACCAACCAGAACACAAAGUCGUUGUCUUGCCCCAUUUGUGCCACUACAACAGAACACCAUACCCUGGACCGUUUCUAAAGAAGAGAGAUUGAUGUUUCCGUUCUGGAGACAGUGGGGGCAAUGGCAUCUUGCAUCUGUUGGGGGAACUUGCUGCUGCUUCCUUCCAGGAAAGAAGACAGAAAGGCAUUCAAAGGAGCAGACAUUGCAGCCUGCCAUGACAGAAGAGCUGAGGGGAGCGAACCCAUUCCCACAAACCCUUUCGAUAGCAGCGUCAACUCAUUAUAACAGAAAGAAGCACCUCCCAUUCAGCAUUGUCGUCCCCCACCCCCGACUGUCACACUAAGAUCUCCCAUUCAGCACUGUCCCCCCGACUGUCACUCUAAGAUUUCCUUCCAACAAAUAAAUUGGGCGAGGAGACACUUUUUGAUAUGAAAAAAAAAAAAAAACCAACAUAGUUUGUGACUUCAUCUUACAGAACAGAGGAAAUAAAUUAGCUAGCUAUCAAGGCUAUCAGAAGACAGUGGCCAUAAGACUUGUAAUAUUAAUGCCAAGGGUCCCUCAUCAAUUACAUCUCAAAACUUAGGGGCACAUGAAAGGGACUGAAGAAGAAAUCUGAGGACAUCCGUGGCUACCUAAACAAAUCUAUUGGCUGGUAUUGUUCUGGUAUUGCAGGGGAGUCCCAUCCUUGGAACUGUAGAAUUUGCAUUAAUUCUAGCUUCUAGAUUUACUUUGCAGCUUUUUAGGACUGAAUUUGCCAAGGUCCCACAAGACACGAGGAGCACAUUAGAGAGAGUCUCAUUCAGGAGUCUCAUUCAGGAGUCUUAACCAUUUUUAAGCCAAAUGUCCAAUGACUAUUUUUCACUUGUCACUUAAAAAAUAUGCUUACUGCUACCCAUAUAUAUCAUAUAUGUAUUCUAUAGAUAUACUUAUGCUUGUCAUCACAACAAAGCAAAAUAACUUCCUGCUUUAAGGAAGGAGAUUAUAUUAAUUGCC